GACGAACGCUGGCGGCGUGCUUAACACAUGCAAGUCGAACGGAAAGGCCCUUCGGGGUACUCGAGUGGCGCACGGGUGAGUAACACGUGGGUGAUCUGCCCUGCACUUUGGGAUAAGCCUGGGAAACUGGGUCUAAUACCGAAUAGGACCACGCGCUUCCUGGUGUGUGGUGGAAAGCUUUUGCGGUGUGGGUUGGGAGCGCGGCCGAUCACCUUGUUGGUGGGGUAAUGGCCUCCCAAGGCGAGGACAGGUAGCUGGUCUGAGAGGAGGACGGGCCACAGUGGGAGUGAGAGCCGGCCGGGACUGCUACGGGAGGCAGCAGUGGGGAGUAUUGGACAAGGGGCGAAAGCCUGAGCAAGCAAUGCCGCGGGAGUGAUGAAGGCCUUAGGGUUGUAAAGCUCUUUUACACGGGAUGAUAAUGACAGUACCGGGAGAAUAAGCGCCGGCUAACUCCGUG
rnacentral:rRNA from 1 species